rnacentral:rRNA from 1 species
UACGUAGGGGGCUAGUGUUGUCCGGAAUCAUUGGGCGUAAAGAGCGUGUAGGCGGUCCGGUAAGUCCGCUGUGAAAGUCGGGGGCUCAACCCUCGAAUGCCGGUGGAUACUGUCGGGCUAGAGUGCGGAAGAGGCGAGUGGAAUUCCUGGUGUAGCGGUGAAAUGCGCAGAUAUCAGGAGGAACACCUAUUGCGAAGGCAGCUCGCUGGGACGGUACUGACGCUAAGGCGCGAAAGCGUGGGGAGCAAACAGG